CUCUUAUAUACAAAGCCAAAACAGAAUUAAACUCUCACAAUCAACACAAACAUUACUAUCACCUUGAUCAUUGCUGCCAUUACCUUGAGAGCUGUUGGCACCACCAUAGCGAUCGCCGUCGCCACAACCGUCGGCAGCCACAACUUGCCCAGCUUCGUGCCUGUACCAGCUCCGUGGUGAUUCAUAAGAAAAAUGCAAAUGCAAUUUUUGUACAUGGAGCCAUUACCAUUAACACGAAAAUAUCCACCUGUAUUAGCAAUGAUUCUCUCCCUCUCAAUUGCAUUAACAAUAGAUAGCUUUUGGGGACUUUCCAUUGACCUUGCCUAGUAUCGGUGAACGCUGAAACUGUAGAUUGUUUUAGCAAACCCUAAUUCAAAACCUAUCGCAAUGAAAAGAGCCUCUACACACUUCGCCCCAAGUCGUUUCACUUCAUCACGUUAUUUCAAUUCUUUCAGAGAA
rnacentral:lncRNA from 1 species